CCCCUGACUCUUGGAUAAGCGCUGGAAACGGUGUCUAAUACUGGAUAUGUCCCGUCACCGCAGGGUGUGCGGGUGGAAAGAUUUUUCGGUUGGGGAUGGGCUCGCGGCCUAUCAGCUUGUUGGUGAGGUAAUGGCUCACCAAGGCGUCGACGGGUAGCCGGCCUGAGAGGGUGACCGGCCACACUGGGACUGAGACACGGCCCAGACUCCUACGGGAGGCAGCAGUGGGGAAUAUUGCACAAUGGGCGGAAGCCUGAUGCAGCAACGCCGCGUGAGGGAUGACGGCCUUCGGGUUGUAAACCUCUUUUAGCAGGGAAGAAGCGAGAGUGACGGUACCUGCAGAAAAAGCACCGGCUAACUACGUGCCAGCAGCCGCGGUAAUACGUAGGGUGCAAGCGUUAUCCGGAAUUAUUGGGCGUAAAGAGCUCGUAGGCGGUCUGUCGCGUCUGCUGUGAAAUCCCGAGGCUCAACCUCGGGCUUGCAGUGGGUACGGGCAGACUAGAGUGCGGUAGGGGGAGAUUGGAAUUCCUGGUGUAGCGGGUGGAAUGCGCAGAUAUCAGGAGGAACACCGAUGGCGAAGGCAGAUCUCUGGGCCGUAACUGACGCUGAGGAACGAAAGGGUGGGGAGCAAACAGGCUUAGAUACCCUGGUAGUCCACCCCGUAAACGUUGGGAACUAGUU
rnacentral:rRNA from 1 species